rnacentral:rRNA from 1 species
UGGGGAAUAUUGCACAAUGGGCGCAAGCCUGAUGCAGCCAUGCCGCGUGUAUGAAGAAGGCCUUCGGGUUGUAAAGUACUUUCAGCGAGGAGGAAGGCGGUAAGGUUAAUAACCUUAUCGAUUGACGUUACUCGCAGAAGAAGCACCGGCUGACUCCGUGCCAGCAGCCGCGGUAAUACGGAGGGUGCAAGCGUUAAUCGGAAUUACUGGGCGUAAAGCGCACGCAGGCGGUCUGUCAAGUCGGAUGUGAAAUCCCCGGGCUCAACCUGGGAACUGCAUUCGAAACUGGCAGGCUAGAGUCUUGUAGAGGGGGGUAGAAUUCCAGGUGUAGCGGUGAAAUGCGUAGAGAUCUGGAGGAAUACCGGUGGCGAAGGCGGCCCCCUGGACAAAGACUGACGCUCAGGUGCGAAAGCGUGGGGAGCAAACA